GGGAGCCGGAUGAGCGAAGACGUUCACGUCCAGUUCUGCGAGAGGCUGGGGGGGAAACUCCCUCGGCCUACUUACCCCUAU
rfam:Prosthecochloris sp. CIB 2401, complete genome.